GUAAAUAUAGUUUAUAAAAACACUAGACUGUGACCCUAGAAAAAGAAAUGUUAAAUUUCUUAUUUACC
rnacentral:tRNA from 1 species